AUCUCUGUAGAGUCUGCAUAUCAAUAAGCGGAGGAAAAGAAACUAACUAGGAUUCCCUCAGUAACGGCGAGUGAAGCGGGAAGAGCUCAAAUUUGAAAUCUUCAAGGUUCUACCUUGACGAAUUGUAGUUUAAAGAAGUGUUUUCUGUUGGAGUUUUGGUAAAAGUUCUUUGGAAUAGGACAUCAUAGAGGGUGAGAAUCCCGUAUUUGACCAUUAUUUCCAACUUUGUGAUACACUUUCAAAGAGUCGGAUUGUUUGGGAAUGCAGUCCAAAAUGGGUGGUAAAUUUCAUCUAAAGCUAAAUACUGGCGAGAGACCGAUAGCGAACAAGUACCGUGAGGGAAAGAUGAAAAGAACUUUGAAAAGAGAGUUAAACAGUACGUGAAAUUGUCAAAAGGGAAGCGUUUGACACCAGUGUUGUUUUCUCGAAAAUCAAUUAAAAAUGGUGGGAUUUUGUGUUGUAUUGACUUUAUCAGCUUUCUGCACUUUUUUCCUAUCUUUUUUAAUGCACUUUUCGUUUAACAAGUCAACAUCAAUUUCUUUUGUUGUAAAAGGGUCAUUGGAAGGUGGCUUUCUUUUCGGAGAAAGUGUUUAUAGCCUUUGGCCUCUGCAAUCGGAGAGAUUGAGGUCUGCAGUGUAGAUCCUUCGGGGUUAGAUACAUUUGUGCUAAGUUAUAGCCUUUCAUAGACAACUUGUUGACUAUGAUCAGUCAUGUAGCUUACUCGCUUAUGUCUAUUUUACCUACGCUUAGGAUGUUGAUGUGAUACUGCGAGCA
rnacentral:rRNA from 1 species